rnacentral:rRNA from 1 species
UACGUAGGAUCCAAGCGUUGUCCGGAUUUACUGGGUGUAAAGGGUGCGCAGGCGGAUUUGUAAGUCAGGGGUGAAAUCUCACAGCUCAACUGUGAAACUGCCUUUGAUACUGCAAGUCUUGGAUCCAGAAGAGAGUUGUGGAAUUCCGAGUGUAGCAGUGAAAUGUGUAGAUAUUCGGAAGAACACCAGUGGCGAAGGCAGCAACUUGGUCUGGUAUCGACGCUCAGGCACGAAAGCAUGGGGAUCAAACAGG